ACCGUCCGCUUCUUCUAGACACGCUGACGGGAGAAGUUCCACCUCAGGAAAGCACAUCAGAUAGGAGCACUGAGCAAAAUAACGAACGAGCAGAGGAAGAUACUCCGUCUUUGCCGGCUGAAUCCCAGGACCAAGAUCAGGAAUCCCGGGACCAAGAGCGUGUUCCAUCAGGAGACAACGACGUCACAAUCCAAAUCGGGGAGACGCAGCCUGUGCGUGAA